GACGAACGCUGGCGGCGUGCUUAACACAUGCAAGUCGAACGGUGAAGCGCCUUCCUUUUUGGUGGGUGUGGAUGAGUGGCGAACGGGUGAGUAACACGUGAGUAACCUGCCCCCUUCUUCUGGAUAACCGCAUGAAAGUGUGGCUAAUACGGGAUAUUCUGGGUCUGUCGCAUGAUGGGUCUGGGAAAGAUAUUGUUUCGGUGGGGGAUGGGCUCGCGGCCUAUCAGCUUGUUGGUGGGGUGAUGGCCUACCAAGGCGGUGACGGGUAGCCGGCCUGAGAGGGUGGACGGUCACACUGGGACGGGGACACGGCCCAGACUCCUACGGGAGGCAGCAGUGGGGAAUAUUGCACAAUGGGCGCAAGCCUGAUGCAGCGACGCCGCGUGAGGGAUGGAGGCCUUCGGGUUGUGAACCUCUUUCGCCAGUGAAGCAGGCCUGCCUCGUUUGUGGGUGGGUUGACGGUAGCUGGAUAAGAAGCGCCGGCUAACUACGUG
rnacentral:rRNA from 1 species